rnacentral:lncRNA from 10 species
ACUGGCACACAUACUCAUGCUCACACAUGCACACUGGCACACAUACGCAUACUCAUGGACACAUGCACACUCACACUCAUGGACACACGCACACUGGCACACAUACUCAUGCUCACACAUUACUGACUUGCACACAUUUGCACACACAUGCACACACUCACAAUUGCACACACGCGCACACACUCGCACAAUGUGCACACUCGCAUGCACGCACACUCACACUCAGACACGUGCACACUCACUGGCACACACUCAUGCUCACGACAUUCACACUUGCACAGAUGUGCACUCUCACACUCAUAUGCACACGCAUACACUCACACACAUGCACACUCACACACACUCAUGCACACAUG